rnacentral:rRNA from 1 species
UACGUAGGUGGCGAGCGUUGUCCGGAUUUAUUGGGUUUAAAGGGUGCGUAGGCGGCUUUGUAAGUCAGUGGUGAAAUACUCCAGCUUAACUGGAGGGGUGCCAUUGAUACUGCGGAGUUUGAGUACAGAUGAGGUAGGCGGAAUUGACGGUGUAGCGGUGAAAUGCAUAGAUAUCGUCAAGAACACCGAUAGCGAAGGCAGCUUACUGGGCUGUAACUGACGCUGAUGCACGAAAGUGUGGGGAUCAAACAGG